rnacentral:rRNA from 1 species
GAUGAACGCUGGCGGCGUGCCUAAUACAUGCAAGUCGAGCGAACGGACGAGAAGCUUGCUUUUCUGAUGUUAGCGGCGGACGGGUGAGUAACACGUGGAUAACCUACCUAUAAGACUGGGAUAACUUCGGGAAACCGGAGCUAAUACCGGAUAAUAUUUUGAACCGCAUGGUUCAAAAGUGAAAGACGGUCUUGCUGUCACUUAUAGAUGGAUCCGCGCUGCAUUAGCUAGUUGGUAAGGUAACGGCUUACCAAGGCAACGAUGCAUAGCCGACCUGAGAGUGUGAUCGGCCACACUGGAACUGAGACACGGUCCAGACUCCUACGGGAGGCAGCAGUAGGGAAUCUUCCGCAAUGGGCGAAAGCCUGACGGAGCAACGCCGCGUGAGUGAUGAAGGUCUUCGGAUCGUAAAACUCUGUUAUUAGGGAAGAACAUAUGUGUAAGUAACUGUGCACAUCUUGACGGUACCUAAUCAGAAAGCCACGGCUAACUACGUG